AUUAAAACACUUAGUUGUUAAGUUGCCAAGAAAAUCCAGUAUAUUCACACAGACUCGAGGACCUGUCUCCAUGCAAAGUAAUUAAAUUAGAUUUAUGGGCUGCAUUACAUCAGUGUUUGAUAGUUCAUUUUUCCUUUCUUCAUAUUUUGCCCUGCUUUGUUAGAGCAUGUGACAGAUGGUAAAAAUAGUGUGAAGUUUCUUGGCCCUGUGCUAAAUCCCCUUUCGGUAGUAUAUCUCUCUUCUGUCAGUUCUCCCCAGCGAUGAUAAAUUAACCUCUCUCUUUGUAUCCCAAGUGUGGCAGUAAAGCUCUCUUUGACACAGCACUAUCACUUUAUCUUAAUCUGUGCUGUUUCGAGGGGAGAGGGAGAUGAUGCAAUCACUACCCUGAGUUUAAAGAGAAGAUUUAUUGUGUCAGAAAAAGAGAGGAUGAUUAAUAUAAUAUGCAUCAUUAUAUUUUUCAUUUUGUCUCAUUUGUCGUCGUCUUCUCGUGGAAGGCAAGGAGUUCGCCAGGGUGGACCACCCUCCGGACCGCCUUUCACCUGGAGCCCUGCUAAGGGGGCUGAGCCCAGGGACUGGAAUUUGGAAUUGAGGUGGAAUAACAGCCAGUAGACUGGAGAAUGAACAAGAGCACUCGAGAUGCUGCGGACAACUGAAGAAGUUAGCUCUGCAGCAGAAUGAAGACAAGAGAUACAGAGAUACUGUGAGAAUUUCCUGGAUCCAGAUGCGAUGUUCCGUGCACGGCUCUACUGGAGGCCCAUGAUAUUCCUUUGUAUCCUUCAAAUAAAUUCCUCUUUUUUCUUAAAAUAGAUCAGGUUUCUUUUUGUUCCCUGCAAACAAAAGAGUCUUAAACCACCUCUAUUUUCUACAACUCCCUAACACGGUGCUUCUGUUCAAGUCAGUCUAAUUUCUUUUGCUGUCCUGCAACCAUGAGCCUCCCUCAUUUCUACGUUGUUACAUUUACUCCAGUUGAUUAUUUCACCUAAGAUGCCCUCUCGAUUCCCAUAACCUAUCCUCCUCCUAAUGCAAGUGCCUCCUUCAUCACGAAAACUGCUCCAGCCCUUGCUGAUAAUCUCUCCUUUGGGUUUCUCCUUAUACUCUCUGCCAAAAAAUUUAGCAAUUAAUUGUACUUUGUUAUGUGCGCUAUACUGUAAUGCUAAUCUUGUCUCCGCAAAGAGAUUGUGAGCUCCCUGUGGGCAACAACUUGACUUCUAAGACUUUCUUGUAUCUCUCAGUGCCAGCACUUGGUUUAACAGAAGCACCUUUCCUCAGACGAACCCAUGACCAUCCAGCAAAGCUGAAUAGAGGGAAUUAAAGAAGAGAAGAACCUAAGUUUAGACAGAGCCAGAAGUGUUUCUUGGUUGCUGCUUCUCCCCAGAGUGGUAGAGGUUCUUCACCAUCUUUUACAGGGAAUGGGACCCCAUUUUCAGCAGGCUGAGAGAGGAAAAACACUGCCUUAGGAUAUGGAAAAGGUGAUGCCAUUUGCAGGAGAGCCAAAUUUAUUGCUGCCAGAAAAAGUAGGGUCAACUAGCAGAGGUAUGGGAUGAUGUAUAUCAACCCAAACUUUGGAUGAACUAAGCAUCAUUUCAACUUAAUUUUGGAAAUCUAAAUAUAUGGAAUGCAUUAGCUGAUUUUAUUUUUGGCAGCAGACUUAACCAUUCUAAUCAUGUUUUGCUCUAGCGAAUUUUAAAAUUAGUUUGCAUUUCCUAAGCACACAUCAGCUGGGUGAGGGCUGAGGGAGGGAAAAGAGGGAGAGGGGGAUGCUAGGAGAAAGCUUGGUUAAGAUUAAACCUUUCCUGGCAAACGCUUCAUUAAGUGGAUAAUCCACAUGCAGAUACAUGAAAGCUAACUAGCAUUGAGUCCUGGGGCCUAGGAGAAUGUGGGAGCACAAACAGGCACCUACCCACCAGGCCAA
ensembl:lncRNA